CAGUCGCCGCGGUAAUACGUAGGGUGCGAGCGUUAAUCGGAAUUACUGGGCGUAAAGCGUGCGCAGGCGGUUUUGUAAGACAGGCGUGAAAUCCCCGGGCUCAACCUGGGAAUGGCGCUUGUGACUGCAAAGCUAGAGUGCGGCAGAGGGGGAUGGAAUUCCGCGUGUAGCAGUGAAAUGCAUAGAUAUGCGGAGGAGCACCGAUGGCGAAGGCAAUCCCCUGGGCCUGCACUGACGCUCAUGCACGAAAGCGUGGGGAGCAAACAGGAUUAGAUACCCCUGUAGUCCCUGUCUCUUAUAC
rnacentral:rRNA from 1 species